UUUUUUUUUUUUUGCAAAUUUAGUUUCUACACAAAAUCAGACUGCUAGGCCCAUUGCCCCCCAACUGUGAAAUUCUGUGCUUACCACUGGAAACAGAACCCUUUCCCUCCUCUUCAGGUAAUGACAAAUGUGUUCCAGCUAUAAACCACCAAAGCCCUGACCCUCAACCCCCAGAUGAGGCCUGUGUAAAUAGUGCUACGGAAAGGCUCUGAUUUCUCUGCACUAUCAGAUCUGGACAACCUUCCUAUUUCUCAUUCCAGGGUGGAUCAACAGACUGGUUAAUGCUGAAGUCACUGAUAGCAAUUAAACAGGCAAAACUGGGCUGGGCCUCAGAGAAGGAAGAGGGGAGGGGGCUAUGUAGAUUUUCCUUUCUUUAGUGCCAGCACUACAACAUUGGCAUUAGUGUCUACUUUCCUCCUGAUCCCAUUUAGUUUUGGAAGCUAAUAAUAAUAAUAAUAAUAAUAAUAAUAAUAAUAAUAAAACAGUGAAAAGGAGUCAGGUGGAUUGGGAAGUCAAACUCAGAGGUGGAUGUUAAGGUCUAUAGCUUUAGGCAUAAAUGUCUGCCUUUUAUCUGAUAUAAUGGUUUGCAACUCGAAGCAAUUUUGCCCACCUAAUCUCUAUCCCCUGGCCCAUCUGGCAAUAUAUAGAAGCGUUUUUGGUUAUCACAACUUGAGAUCAUAGGGAGUACUACUACCAUCUUAUAGGUAGAGGCCAGAGAUGCUGCUGCUAAACAUGCUACAGUGCACAGGGAAGCCUUCAUGGCAAAGUAUUAUCCAUCUCCAAAUUUAGGAAAACAACACAAGGAAAAAUAAACCCAAAUAUUUAAGAGCCUUUUGUGUGCUAUAUGGUCUGCACAUCUACAUGCACAUACACAUAUAUCAUUUAGUCUUCAUACCAAGUCCACAAAGUGAUGCCCUCUUCCCAGAUGAAAAGUGGGGUCUUCACCCAGCUAGUAACUGGCACAGGAGGAAUUUGAACUUGGCUCUGGGGCUGAUUCUCACUAGACUGUGAGCUCCAUGAGAACAGGUACCUUGCCAACCUUAUUCACCUCCAAGUACCCAGUACCUAGUAGAAUUAGGUAUCUAAUGGAAGUGCAAUAGAGACUUCCUUGCAUUAACAAUGGAUAAUUAAAUGAAUAUCUCAGUCAAUGGCCCUAAAGUACAUGCUCAUUUCUUCCCACCAUUCCUUAAGAAUAAUAAAGAUCCUUACAACAUCUCUCCAGGGUUCCAGUCAGGUCAGUAUGUUGCAUGUCAGAAACAGAAAUCUCCCUAGGCCAAUACAUCAAAAAUGGAAGCUUAUGGUAAGAGUGCAGAGGUACUGUGGAAACAAAGCACAGCCAGAACUUAUGGGCUUGGAAAGCCAUUAGGAAUCAGAGUGCCCUGUGUUCUCUGUCAUCUUUACAUCUUGGUUUUCUCUUCCAACAGAUGACUUGCUUUGUUUAACCAUCUUGCAUAUGGUCCAAUAUAUAAGCCUCAGCAACAUUUUAAUGCUGAAAAUCCCCAUGGUGUCUUAGCUGGGCUUUCCUUAGUUAACUAGUUUAGUCUGUCUAUAUCCCAGCUAUUAUACAUUCUUUAAGGAAGGAUGAGAUCUGUGUAGCCUGAGCUAAACUUCAAGAUGACUCUGGCCCCAGCCAGACAAUUGCAACUUCAUGAGACACCCCUGAGUGAGAGCUGGCUAAAUGAGCCCCAUCGAGCCUAGGGAUCAUGAGCCAUAAAAAUGAUUAUUGUUUUAGCAACUAUUUUUUGGUUGAUUUAUUACACGGAAGGAACUAGAAACAGAUUUUGGUAUGGGGAGGGGUUGCUAUUAUAACAAAAACAUACACUUGUGUCAAAUUAUAAUUCUGCUCCCAAUUCCAAAGUCUGGAGACUAAAUAUAUAUUUCUUACUAUUAAUCACAAUAUUAUAAUUAUCCUUAUGUUUGACCAGCAGGUAGAAGCUAGAAGGGCCUCGAAGAGCAUGUUAGUAGAAGUCUAAAGGGUCUUUAUGAUGGAAGGUGAGGAAAAUGUUACUGGAAGCUGGAGGAAAGGGGACCCCUGUAUGGGUGGUAGAAGUUUUGGUGACACUGUUGUGUGCUGUAAUGUGGAAAAGAAGGAAAUAUUCCAUAAUGAAUAUGAUGAUCUGGCCAACCUGCCUAUAGUAGAAUGCAAACGAGAGAGAGCAGCUGAAAAAAGAAACUUUUGGGGUUUUAGAGCAAAAUUUAGAGGGUAAGUAACGUGGCAGGGUCUUCUGGGUUUGAAAAUAAAAUGACUUCUCAAGCCCAGCAGUUCCAGAGGGCAAACUAUUCUCAAACUGAAAUGACCUUCAGCAAAGUUCACUACUUCAUUAACCCUUUAAAACAGACAAAAUCCAAAAAUAAAAAAUAAAAAAAAAAAAAUAAAACAGACAAAAUCCUUCUAAAGCACUUCAGACUGUGCUUGUCUGUCUUAAUUAAACAACAGGAUGUCCUAGUAGCCUGGAAAAGCACACAAAGUAGAAAGGACUUAAGUGAGCCAAAGAGAUUUAUGGUAAUGGCUUUUUCCUCAAGAGAAGGAACUCCAGGAAGAAUCAUUUAAAAAUUCCUCAAUGUUUCUUAGAAUCAGCCUGAACUAAAAGAGAAGGAAAUAGUGCAAGGUAAAAAAAAAAAAGAAAAAAAAAA
rnacentral:lncRNA from 1 species